UGGGGAAUAUUGCACAAUGGGCGAAAGCCUGAUGCAGCAACGCCGCGUGAGUGAUGAAGGUCUUCGGAUUGUAAAGCUCUGUCUUUUGGGACGAUAAUGACGGUACCAAAGGAGGAAGCCACGGCUAACUACGUGCCAGCAGCCGCGGUAAUACGUAGGUGGCGAGCGUUGUCCGGAUUUACUGGGCGUAAAGGGUGCGUAGGCGGAUGUUUAAGUGAGAUGUGAAAUACCCGGGCUUAACUCGGGUGCUGCAUUUCAAACUGGAUAUCUAGAGUGCAGGAGAGGAGAAUGGAAUUCCUAGUGUAGCGGUGAAAUGCGUAGAGAUUAGGAAGAACACCAGUGGCGAAGGCGAUUCUCUGGACUGUAACUGACGCUGAGGCACGAAAGGCGUGGGUAGCAAACAGGAUUAGAUACCCUGGUAGUCCACGC
rnacentral:rRNA from 1 species